rnacentral:snRNA from 1 species
UCACUUCAGCAGUACACAUACUAAAACUGGAACAAUACAGAGAUUACCAUGACCCCUGUGUCAGGAUGACAUGCACAUUCAUGAAGCAUUCCUUAAAGAA